AGUGGACGCUGGCGGUAGGCCUAACACAUGCAAGUCGAACGGCAGCACAGUAAGAGCUUGCUCUUACGGGUGGCGGGUGGCGGACGGGUGAGGAAUACAUCGGAAUCUACUUUUUCGUGGGGGAUAACGUAGGGAAACUUACGCUAAUACCGCAUACGACCUACGGGUGAAAGCAGGGGAUCUUCGGACCUUGCGCGAUUGAAUGAGCCGAUGUCGGAUUAGCUAGUUGGCGGGGUAAAGGCCCACCAAGGCGACGAUCCGUAGCUGGUCUGAGAGGAUGAUCAGCCACACUGGAACUGAGACACGGUCCAGACUCCUACGGGAGGCAGCAGUGGGGAAUAUUGGACAAUGGGCGCAAGCCUGAUCCAGCCAUACCGCGUGGGUGAAGAAGGCCUUCGGGUUGUAAAGCCCUUUUGUUGGGAAAGAAAAGCAGCAGGUUAAUACCCCGCUGUUCUGACGGUACCCAAAGAAUAAGCACCGGCUAACUUCGUG
rnacentral:rRNA from 1 species